rnacentral:rRNA from 1 species
AUACGGAGGGUGCAAGCGUUAUUCGGAAUCACUGGGCGUAAAGGACGCGUAGGCGGGUUUGUAAGUCAGGUGUGAAAUCCUACAGCUUAACUGUAGAACUGCACUUGAAACUACAGACCUAGAGUAUGGGAGGGGCAGAUGGAAUUAGUGGUGUAGGGGUAAAAUCCGUAGAUAUCACUAGGAAUACCGAAAGCGAAGGCGAUCUGCUGGAACAUAACUGACGCUAAGGCGUGAAAGCGUGGGGAGCAAACAGGAUUAGAAACCCGGGUAGUCC